GCUGGGCGUGGUGGCGGGCGCCUGUAGUCCCAGCUACUCGGGAGGCUGAGGCAGGAGAAUGGCAUGAACUUGGGAGGCAGAGCUUGCAGUGAGCUGAGGUUGUGCCACUGCACUCCAGCCUGGGCGACAGAGCGAGACUCCAUCUCAAAAAAAAAAAAAAAAAAAAAGAGGAGAUACGGAUAUGGCCUGAAACAUUAAGUUUCUUUUUUUUUUUUUUUUGAGACGGAGUCUUGCUGUGUAGCCCAGGCUGGAGUGCAGUGGCGGGAUCUCGGCUCACUGCAAGCUCUGCCUCCCGGGUUCACGCCAUUCUCCUGCCUCAG
rnacentral:SRP_RNA from 1 species